rnacentral:sRNA from 1 species
CGUUCCUCAUGUUAUCACCAUCACGGUAGUUACCAUUGUUCACGAAACCUGCUUCUCGUCCCCUGAAGUUGUCCCCACGGUAUCCACCACCUCUGUUGUCUUGCUGGAACCGACCACCCCGAGCAUUGCCAUUGUUUUCAAUAUGGAUAGAAUUCUAGCAUAGUGAAGCCCAAAUUAGCGAGGUAACUUAUGAGCAUACUACAAACUGAGGUCAACACUCCGAGAAACAAACCUCAAUUGCUGCUAGCAUGGAUUGCCGAGACUCAAAUUCAACAAAGCCAAAGCAGAAUCCAUCGGGCUGCAUCGAACUUGAAUACCACCAGGCCUGAUAGCACCAAAUUUCCUGAACUUUUCCUCAACAUCUUUCGUGGUACAUUCAUAAGGUAAGUGCUUUACAUAAACAGAAUACCCUUGCUCUACAAAAACAACGUUUUGAACAUUUUUGUCAUUUGGAGAUGUGGUAUCAGCUGCAUUAGUAGGUUUCACAGGUGAGGACACAGCUUUCUCCACAUUGUCAGUCACUUUUGCAGUUGGCUUUGGUUUGGGUUUGGGCUUGGGCUUUGCAACAGGUGGAGUUGGUGUGCCCUCCUUUAAAACUCACAACUGAUGCAUAUGACUGUUUAGUAACAUCCUUCUGAGUCGAGGCACGAGGAGCAGGUGCAG